CAGCCGCCACGGGAAUACGGGGGGGCAAGUGUUAUUCGGAAUGACUGGGCGUAAAGGGCACGUAGGCGGUGAAAAGGGUGGAAAGUGAAAGUCGCCAAAACACUGGCGGGGUGCUUUCUUGACCAUUUCACUUGAGUGAGAUAGGGGAGAGUGGAAUUUCGUGUGGAGGGAUCAAAUCCUAAGAUAUACAAAGGAACGCCAACCGCGAAGGCAGCUCUCUGGGUCCCCACUGACGCUGGGGUGCGAAAGCAUGGGGAGCAAACAGGAUCAGAGACCCGAGUAGUCCCUGUCUCUUAUACAA
rnacentral:rRNA from 1 species